GGCUGAUGCUCUAUCCAUUGUGACACCGAGCUGCCCUAUAAAGCAAUUUUUAUGUAACAUAUAUUUUCCUGGAUAUAGGAAAAGGAGGGAGGGAAGGAGGCCAUGUACUUGGAACCAAAAGACCACUCAGGAGGCAGACACGUGGGGGGCUGGACACAGACACAGACAGGAGAGGUCAAAGGAUGGCCAUGAGGUCCACAGGCAGCUGGGAGACAGAUGGGAUAAAGGGAGCCUGCACAUACAGGUAUUCGGGAUGGGAAGCACAAAGAUGAAGACCUGUCCUGUGUAAGGAACAGCGUCCAAAUUUGGCUGGAUUGAAGAUGUUGGGAAGAGAAAUAAUAGCCAAUAAGGCUGGAAAUAUAGGUUGGGGCGAGACUGUGAAGGCCUUAAAUGUCAAGCCAGGGAAGAAACUAGUAUCAUGGGAGAGGCUGAAGGUGUGUGAGGGUGGGGAGUGAUUAAAGAUGUAAUCUCCUGGAGAAAAUGGGAGAGGCUGGAGCCAAACAAAUGUAGAGGGAUUGGUCUUGGCAAGGAGAAGGGUCAUAUCUUUGUCAGACACAGAGGGGGAAAGUGUCCGGGUGUUUAAAAAUUAAGAGAAUGUCAGAUGCUCUCAAUUUUCUCACUAAAGUGAGAGGCAAGGUCCCCAUCUGAGAGAAAGAGGGAAAAAUGUGGGAGGCUCCAAGAAGGAAGAGAAAGUUUGGAAGCAUUUCUGUGGGCGUGAGACAAUGUGGGGAUCAAUUAAGGAAGAAAUAAGGACUGCUUGCUGCAAGGAGGGCCCUGCUGAAGUCAGCACUGCUGGGAGAACCCUUACAGCUGUGUUAGGCAGCUGCUGAGUAGAAGAGAAGGGAGAUGGGGAAAGUGAUCCAAGCCCGAAAUUUGGCAAGAAGCCAUUGGCAAAAGGGCAGGGAACAGGAACGGAGAGCAGUCAUGGCUAUCCAGGGGGCUGAUGUCAAGAGGGAGAAAAAGUGCAGUCAGAGUAAAAGGAAAGUACCAAAGAGUGGAGGGAAUGAACAUCUUGGUGAGGGAAGGAUGAGCCAUGGGGAGAGGUGGAAUAAUAAGGGAUCGGAAUUACUGAGUGGGAAGUAGAACACCUGGGUAGGGAGAUGUCUAGUGUCCCAUGUGUGGUUGGCAUUUAAAGGGGCAUCUAGGUCACUAAAAAGUCCCCUGAUAUAAGGGCAGCACUUGGGGAGAUGAUGCUAAACACGAUGAGAAAGGAAGGAAAAUGACCCAGGGACUGGCAGUCCACAGCCAUCUUAAUGUGGAAUUAAGGACGAGUUUUGAUUGAGUUGUUACAAAGAAGGAAGAGCUGCUGAUGGAUAGAAAUAAAGGGAAGAUCUGGAAGUGACAAUGGGGCAGGAGCAUGAAGCAAUAUCCCUCCCCUCUUUCCCCUCUCCAGGACCAGUAUCUCAGGGAGCCAUGGAGGAUGGGAGCAAGCCCAGGAAAUCUUUUUGGGGCCCUGGCUGAAAAACAAUACCCAGGGAGAAAGCUGGCAAUAACAAGAAGAAUAAGCUGGAGAACUGAGAUUUCCCAAGACACGCUUUAGAGCCCUCCAUGCUCAAUUACAAGUAAUUGUGACUUAUCUCUUUUGGCUGAAGAACACAUCUGAUCCCUCCUGACCUAAGGGCCUACAAGUGGUGAGUGGCUGGGGCUGGACUUCAGAGAGCCGGGGGAAGGACCCCAUUUCAAUCAGCGAGUGACCUCAGCUCCGUACUGUGGACCCCCCUUCCCCCCCAGCCGACACAUCCUGUGAACGUGCUCAUUGCCGUUGUCACUAACUUGGAUAUCAAUGCAGAGGUUAGCACACACACACACUGCUUCCCCUUCCUGGGAAACACAGAUAUGACUGGGAAUGUCAGAGGCCAUGGGCCCUCACCGGGGGCCUCUUCCACAAAGACUCCACUGGAAAUGACUCCAUUGUUUCCUCUACAUCAUUGGAGCAGUCUUUGCAGUCUUCCCUCCAUGGAUGCUAAACCUGUACCUAUCAUUAGAGGAUCAAAUAGUCAUAGGUCAACCAGUUAUAGUAUUCAAUAUCUGUCCAUUUAAGGGACUGUAGAUUUAAAAAGUAAAUUCCUAGUGAGGAGGGGGCAAUAUGUGUAAUAUGAUAGCAAUAUUAAAAUCCUCAAAAAUUAAGUUUUGCAUGCCCUUACAUAUAUAAUGGGUAUC